rnacentral:rRNA from 1 species
UUUAACCACAGUGCCACGAAUAUACCUGAACAUAAUCGAUUUCAGAAGCUAAGUAGGGUUAGUCCUGGUUGCCACCUGGAUAGGAGACCACAAAGGAAUGAGAGAGAUGUUUAGU